rnacentral:lncRNA from 1 species
UUCAGUAUCGCAAUCUCUUGGAUCACCUUCGACCGACAGAUGUAUGGAUAAUAACCUAAUUAUUUCGUAAUAAUUUGUUAAUUACUUCUACCAAAUUUAUAAUCUAACAUACAUUCACAUUUCAGUUCAUUUGGCAUCCAUACCUAAAUUUGGAUAAUGACCAUGAAAUCAACGAAGAAGACGCAGCCGUAUGGAUUGCUUGCACACCGAUCAUAAGAUUCACCACUGUGGAGAUGCACAACAAUGAUCGUGUGAAAUUGUAGUUCGGUAUGCUUCAACACAUCCCAGAUCCCCCAACAAACCUAGGAGAAUGACAUCUACGCAAAGUUAACGACCAAUGGAACUUUAACCCAUGGCAAAGCUUCGCUAGAUCUGAGUGUCAUAUGCUUCAACACAUCCCAGAUCCCCCAACAAACCUAGGAGAAUGACAUCUACGCAAAGUUAACGACCAAUGGAACUUUAACCCAUGGCAAAGCUUCGCUAGAUCUGAGUGUCGCAAAUGGAAGCACUGCCAUGACCAUGUCUUAACUGACGUUGUGAUGCCAACUGAAGAAAAACCAAGUCGUACUUAUAUGGCUUGGUACAAAUUAGUUGGUUUUGAGUUCAUCGCCGAGGAUAUGUACCUAUACGACCCACGCCGGGCAACUUACACACCAGACGCCUCAACAUCUAAUCCCUAACAACAUUGUCAGAUCGGCUACACACAACCCCCUAUCCGUCAAACUUUCCGUUCCACAAACACACAAAUAUACAACCCUAACAUGUCAUACACCCAACCACAAUACCAAGAUCAUACCACAUACCACCACCACCAACUAGAUCAUCAACCAGAGACCCAACAUCGCUUCACACCCAACACAUCACCCUACAAAAACCGCCUUAGCCAAAACACUCAACGACCAUUUAACACCAACCGUCCCUCCUCCUACCAAAACCAAGAAGCCCAAAUAUCUCAAAACCAAAACCUUCAACAACCAUAUCUUUACCAAACACCACAAUAAUCUUUCCAACCUUUCAUCGACGCAUCAUUCACACCAAUGUCUCCCUUCAAUCGUUCUGGUCGUCCACCAACAACUCAAACACAACUCAACUACUCUGACAUGGGUCAUAAACUCAGCUAUGGAGAUACACCUUCGAUGCAUACACAAGACUACGUUGAUUUGUCUGACUAUCUCAAUAGGCAAUCUCCUGCAGUUGAUAGUGAUGUUUCUGGGCCCUCAGAUGCUCAAACACCUGGGGUGAAUCAUCAACGUGGAUUUGGGUCAUGGGUUCGGAUAGCUAGGGGAUGUGGGACCGGUGGUCGGUUAGGUGAUCUCGGUCAUCAACAUUAGUCUUUUUUGUGUAAACGAGAUUUAAAAUUACAAAACACACAGAGGUGUCAAUCCAAUUGGCGUCUCCCUUUAACCUUUGCACAUGGGCGCCAAUUGGAUUGACAGCACCAUCUGCCAUAGCCAAUCCAAUUGGCCUCUCCUUUCUAAAUUUAAGAGGAGGCGCCAAUUGCAUUGACGUGUCCUCUUAAAAGUGAGGUAGAUUGUAAAUUUUUUUGAAAUUAGGAUUAUUUUGGAGAAAAAAAUCAAAAUCUGGAAUAUUUUAGUAAAAAAUUCUUAAUUUGUUCCUCAAAUAAAAGUAAUAGUUAAUUAAAGUAAAUUUGAUAUUGUGUAACCCGUGAAAUAAUAU